CCAACACUGGGACUGAGAACUGCCCAGACUUCUACGGGAGGCUGCAGUCGAGAAUCUUUCGCAAUGGGCGAAAGCCUGACGAAGCGACGCCGUGUGUGUGAUGAAGGCCUUCGGGUUGUAAAGCACUUUCGCUAGGGAACAAGAGACAACAGCUAAUAUCUGUUGAAUUUGAGAGUACCAU
rnacentral:rRNA from 1 species